AAUGAGUUUAUCCUACUAUAGCUCCUCCCACCAGCCUCCUCUGAUGUACAUACACUAUUGUCACAACGCAUAAACCUGCUCUCCGCCCCCAGUACAAGGAGAUGAUCGGUGGUGAACAAGCCACACUUCAUCUUUAAUUGUCUGGAGCCUGGUGUUGCUGUGGCCAAGGAGCUUUCACUCAGAUGGAGCCAGGUUUCAGCUGCUGUGCAAUGUUGACGUCCUUCGUCCCAGGGAUGUGAAAGCCUCCCCCGUACUGGACACAACCUUGAAAACAUAUAUUUUUGAGGCGAUCAGGACGUUUGCAAUGAAAAGGCCAGGGCAUUACAUGGCCUGCUCCGAAAGGCAGGACAGAAAUAUGCUCUCAGGCUAGAUUCCUUUGUUCAUAACAUGAUCUGAACCAAAGUUACUCAAAUAACCUUGACAUACAGUACCAGUCAAAAGUUUGGACACACCUACUCAUUCAAGGGUUUUUCUUUAUUCUUACUAUUUUCUACAUUGUAGAAUAAUAGUGAAGACAUCAAAACUAUGAAAUAACACAUAUGGAAUCACGUAGUAACCAAAAAAGUGUUAAACAAAUCAAAAUAUAUUUUCUAUUUUAGAUUCUUCAAAGUAGACACCAUUUGCCUUGAUGACAGCUUUACACACUCUUGGCAUUCUCUCAGCCAGCUUCAUGAGGUAGAAAAAAACAUACAUUUUCCCUGAUUGGUCUUCAAUGGUUAAUGGUCAUGGAACUUGUGUGUUCACCAGAAACGUCUUCUGGUAAACUGUUUGCCACUAGUGGAAAUAAAUAUUGUUGCCACGGGUUUGCCACAGAUUCAAAUAUAAUCUUGAGAGAAUUGUUUGCCAGAAAAAAACAUUUGCAAACUUCUGGCAGCAUUUUGUGGCACACUAUUAAGUUUGCAGAAAAUCUACCACAAACUUGUGGGAAGUUUGCUGCAACAAAUUAUUUUUUUUAACGGCUAUUAAAAUUCUCUCUGAGAUAAGGCAUGUUAAACUCUCAUUAAAUUCAACUCUGAUAUAAUGCAUGUUAAACUCCCAUUAUGUUUUGAUUAGAAGGCACAGGGCCCGGCGCCAUGGUGAUUGUGUUUUUAAUCAGAUUUUUCCUCACUGCGGAGCAAAGACGAAAUGAGAAGAGGGGAGAAGUAACAAAGCUAAACAAGCUGAGCAAGCAGCAACAUACCAUUUAACUCCAACAACGGAAUAGACUUUCUGUGUCACAUUUUUUGACAUAACGAAAGUAUAUGAGAAUGGAUCCAAAAUGGGAUUGCUGUGUUAUAUUGCUAUGUGGGUAGUGGACCUUGAUGAUUUUUUUUAUGGAUAGGAAAUGAAUGGAAAGAGUGAAUUAUAUCAAUAUUAUUCAUUUUUGCCUAGCAGUGUCCAACUCACAAAGUGACACUGAAUAUAGUUUUUUUCAUAUACCAGUGAUCUGUUUAAAAACAUACUGCAGUAGGAAGCUCCACAACAUUACAGAAAAACCUUAUUAUCCUUUCUAUGCCAUAACUGGCACCGCACAUUAGCCUCAUACAUGGGUGAUGGCGUUGAUGCUAUAGCAACCAUGCCCAACACAUGGUUACAUCAGAAUGGGGUAAAAUGCACACUAAAGGUUGUAAUACUAUGGACUCACUCUAAAAUACUUUAUAUAGUGUUAACAAAAGCAUAUUAUACAAUGCCCCUCCACUCCAAUGUUAACAGAAAGAAUGUUGUGACGUGUUAUGUACUGACGUAUUGGGAAGUAUUUGUCAUCAGUGUGGACUAAAAGCAUAUCACGGGUGUGUCGCAGAGAUAAUUAGCUGACCUGUACAUAGUUCUGUUUUUCAUUAGCCAAUCACAAGUUUUAUGAACACCCUGAUAUGGAAACAGCUGAAGGACAUUUAACACAUCAUAAUCAGAGUGACACUAGAUUUGGGCUUGUAGUGCAAAAAGAAAGGGCAUCAUGAACACCUUCCUAAAAUUGAGUUGCACACCCCUUCAGAACAGCCUCAACUCAUUGAGGCAUGGACUCUACAAGAUGUCGAAAGUGUUCCACAGGGAUGCUGGCCCAUGUUGACUCCAAUGAUUCCCACAGUUGUGUCAAGUUGGCUGGAUGUCCUUUGGGUGGUGAACCAUUCUUCAUACACACGGAUACUUGCUAUCUAGCCAAUGUUAGUAAUGUUAAAGGUUUGUGUGUCUCUGUGAAAAAGAUAGCUAGCUAACAUUGCCUAUCAAUACAGGACUAAGAUUGAAUUGUACUACACCGGCUCAGACGCUCGCCAAAUGUGUCAGGGCUUGCAAACUAUUACGGACUACAAAAGGGACGCACAGUCACGAGCUGCCCAGUGACACGAGCCUACCAGACGAGCUAAAUAAAAUCUAUGCUCGCUUCAAGACAAGCAACACUGAUGCAUGCAUGAGAGCAUCAACUGUGUGAGCACACUCGUUGUAGCCGAUGUGAGUAGACCUUUAACUGUUUUUGGAUAGGGGGCAGCAUUCAGAAUUUUGGAAGAAAAGCGUGCCCAAAGUAAACUGCUGCUACUCAGGCCCAGAAGCUAGGAUAUGCAUAUAAUUGGUAGAUUUGGAUAGAAAACACUCUAAAGUUUCCAAAACUGUCUGUGAGUAUGACAGAACUGAAAUGGCAGGCGAAAACCUGAGGAACAUCUAUCCAGAAGUGCUAUUAUUUUGAAAUGGGUGUUUUUCCAUUGAAAGCCUAUCUACCAUUUAAGGGCUUGUAAGUAAGCAUUUCACUGUAAGGUUGUAUUCGGCGCAGGUGACAAAUACAAUUUGAUUUGAUUUGAACUAGCUGUUGUGUGUCUCUGUGAAAAAGAGUUAGCUAACCAUUUAUACACAGCCUAUUUAUUUAUAGGCUACUAGCUAGUCAUGUGAUGACGUGUUGCUUGAUAGCUACUUGAAUUGAGAGUGCGUGCUCUGUGUAGGGGUCGUGGAGGUGCAGCACUGCAGUGUUUGAAGAUUUUCUAUGUCCGAGGGGAUUGGAGAGCUGGGAUAGUUCAAGGUGACUGUGGAGAAGGCCAGUCACGUGGAGCAUACUGCUGCACGCACAAAGCCAUGGAGCUACUGACAACACUCCCUGUGGUACAGCCAUCACUGCCUACCAGUCUAUGAAUCUGGAGACACUGGGGGUGUUUGGGGUGGAGAGGACGGUGGACUCAGUGGAGGACAUCCCUGCCACUUGGCAGUGAGGGAGUUUGAUUAAUCUCACCUUGUCGCCCGUGUAGGUGUGUUUUGCACCGGCUGAAAGUUGAUUGUAUUCCAUUUGAAACCAGGCUGCUCCCAGGACAUGAGCCAGGUCCCCCGCUCUGGCCGACGUUGAAGUCGGCUCAAAACAAAAGUGAAGUAGGUUAAGCACAUGGAGUAAUUGGUAGGUUUCUGUGUUUUCACAUACAACAGUGAUUGCUUUUGAUAAAAACCCUUUAUCUGCCAUUCCAAUGAAAACUUGUUAGAAAAUUUGAACAUAUAUUAAUGGUAAAGAUAUGUUGUAUAUGUUUCUGAACAAUGCUGCCUUGUUGAUAACCUGACCAAGCGGCGCAGAUUACUGUUUCAGAAGGGCGCUCCUCCCUCACCGCUUUUGCCCGUUCACGUCUCAGCGGCUCAGAUUAAUAGACCUCCCUCAGUUUUGGCACUGACUGACUGACUGACUGACUGACUGAUGACUGAUGACUGAUGACUGAUAACUGACUGACUGACUGACUGACAGACAGACACAGACAGACACAGACAGACAGACACAGACAGACAGACAGACACAGACAGACAGACAGACAGACGGGGGCAUAUAAAGUAUUUCCCUAAACCAUGAGGUAACGUUAUAAUCAUUAACAUAUAAAUACCUGCUAUGCUAAUGAGGUAACACUAUAAACACUACCCUAUAUGUAGCCUUGCGAAAGUAAUUUGGGGUUGUUUUUUCUGUCACAUGCGUAAAUCAUAAAAUAGGAUAAUGUAAGAGGGAAAUCA